rnacentral:lncRNA from 1 species
CCUUCCAGUCACACCAAGAACUAAAACAGGAUCAGCCAAAGUACUCCGGAUAAAACCGAAUCAGUUUGAACCCUACAGAGGAGCCCAGAAUGAUUUCUCUUUGUCUCAGAGGCCUGCCUUUCUCUCUCUGUCUCAGAGGUUUGCCUCCACCUCCCCUGAACCUUGGCCCAGAAGUUUGCCUUCUCUCUCUUCCUUCCCCCUUCUUAGUGGCCUCUGAACCCAAGAAUCUGUCCUGGAAGCCAAAUGGAAAUUCUACACAGAAGCCCGUCUAAGUCUUAGCAGCAAUGUUGUACUCGUUUUCUUCUUUAAAAUUAAUGAAUACACAGCCAGAGGUUUAUUAUGCCACACACAUUGUGUUCACCACUCUUCAUGAUUAAAAGUCUCACUUCUGGGGUCCAGGACAACUUCCUAAAUUCAUCACCGGGAACUGCAUUGCAACAUUGCUGAUUCUGGCCCUAUGAUUAAUUCUACAGCUUUUGAAGAAACCCAAACUGGACAGACAGUUACUGAAUUUUUGUAAUGUCCGAGGCUUCCAGGAGGAGUGACACAUAUCUCUGCUGGAUGAGCUCACAGUUCCAAUGAGAAGAUACAAGCUGAAAGAUUGCAGCAGAACUGGGAAGUGAAAGCACGGAGAGGCUGUGGGACAUGGAGGAGGGGCGGUAAGAUUGAGAAAGAGGUAACAGUUGGGGUGACUUUGGACCUGAGACCUGGGCAGGCAUAAGAAGUCUCACUCUCUAUUCCAUUCUUGGCAGGGGAUGUUUCUUUGUACCAGGUAGCUUUGCGCUUGUUUUGUUCCAUAAAAGUAAAUCUCUGUUCACUAAGGAAUUAUGGUAGUGAAUGGUGACUCUCCGGAAUUAUAGGGCUAAUUCCAAAAUAAUCUUAGUUUUAUUCCCCCACAUUGUAAUAUUAACACUUGGGAAUUUUGUUUAUCGCGAUGUUUAAUAAUUUGGCCAGCAGAGGGCACUGCAUACUGACAGUCUCUCCACACCAGUCGCUCAAAUCCUCAAGAGUUCCCGAAGUGUUAGGCUUAACUCAGGGGUGUUUGCAAGUGCUUUGCUCUUCUGUUUCAGACAUAAACAUAUGUCAGAAAUUAAAAGAGGGUUGUGAAGCAGGAAAUUAGAUUAACA